GAGUUUGAUCAUGGCUCAGAUUGAACGCUGGCGGCAGGCCUAACACAUGCAAGUCGAACGGUAACAGGAAACAGCUUGCUGUUUCGCUGACGAGUGGCGGACGGGUGAGUAAUGUCUGGGAAACUGCCUGAUGGAGGGGGAUAACUACUGGAAACGGUAGCUAAUACCGCAUAACGUCGCAAGACCAAAGAGGGGGACCCUCGGGCCUCUUGCCAUCGGAUGUGCCCAGAUGGGAUUAGCUUGUUGGUGGGGUAACGGCUCACCAAGGCGACGAUCCCUAGCUGGUCUGAGAGGAUGACCAGCCACACUGGAACUGAGACACGGUCCAGACUCCUACGGGAGGCAGCAGUGGGGAAUAUUGCACAAUGGGCGCAAGCCUGAUGCAGCCAUGCCGCGUGUAUGAAGAAGGCCUUCGGGUUGUAAAGUACUUUCAGCGGGGAGGAAGGGAGUAAAGUUAAUACCUUUGCUCAUUGACGUUACCCGCAGAAGAAGCACCGGCUAACUCCGUGCCAGCAGCCGCGGUAAUACGGAGGGUGCAAGCGUUAAUCGGAAUUACUGGGCGUAAAGCGCACGCAGGCGGUUUGUUAAGUCAGACGUGAAAUCCCCGGGCUCAACCUGGGAACUGCAUCUGAUACUGGCAAGCUUGAGUCUCGUAGAGGGGGGUAGAAUUCCAGGUGUAGCGGUGAAAUGCGUAGAGAUCUGGAGGAAUACCGGUGGCGAAGGCGGCCCCCUGGACGAAGACUGACGCUCAGGUGCGAAAGCGUGGGGAGCAAACAGGAUUAGAUACCCUGGUAGUCCACGCCGUAAACGAUGUCGACUUGGAGGUUGUGCCCUUGAGGCGUGGCUUCCGGAGCUAACGCGUUAAGUCGACCGCCUGGGGAGUACGGCCGCAAGGUUAAAACUCAAAUGAAUUGACGGGGGCCCGCACAAGCGUGGAGCAUGUGGUUUAAUUCGAUGCAACGCGAAGAACCUUACCUGGUCUUGACAUCCACGGAAGUUUUCAGAGAUGAGAAUGUGCCUUCGGGAACCGUGAGACAGGUGCUGCAUGGCUGUCGUCAGCUCGUGUUGUGAAAUGUUGGGUUAAGUCCCGCAACGAGCGCAACCCUUAUCCUUUGUUGCCAGCGGUCCGGCCGGGAACUCAAAGGAGACUGCCAGUGAUAAACUGGAGGAAGGUGGGGAUGACGUCAAGUCAUCAUGGCCCUUACGACCAGGGCUACACACGUGCUACAAUGGCGCAUACAAAGAGAAGCGACCUCGCGAGAGCAAGCGGACCUCAUAAAGUGCGUCGUAGUCCGGAUUGGAGUCUGCAACUCGACUCCAUGAAGUCGGAAUCGCUAGUAAUCGUGGAUCAGAAUGCCACGGUGAAUACGUUCCCGGGCCUUGUACACACCGCCCGUCACACCAUGGGAGUGGGUUGCAAAAGAAGUAGGUAGCUUAACCUUCGGGAGGGCGCUUACCACUUUGUGAUUCAUGACUGGGGUGAAGUCGAAACAAGGUA
rnacentral:rRNA from 1 species